rnacentral:rRNA from 1 species
CAUGCAAGUCGAGGGGCAGCAUUUACUUCGGUAAAUGGCGACCGGCGCACGGGUGAGUAACGCGUAUGCAACCUACCUUUAACUGGGGCAUAGCUCGAGGAAACUCGAAUUAAUUCCCCAUAGUACAUUAUAAUAUCUCAUGAUAUAAAUGUUAAAGAUUUAUCGGUUAAAGAUGGGCAUGCGUCUGAUUAGUUUGUUGGUAAGGUAACGGCUUACCAAGACUACGAUCAGUAGGGGGUCUGAGAGGAUGAUCCCCCACACUGGUACUGAGACACGGACCAGACAUCUACGGAUGGCAGCAGUAAGGAAUAUUGGGCAAUGGGCGCAAGCCUGACCCAGCCAUGCCGCGUGCAGGAUGACGACCCUAUGGGUUGUAAACUGCUUUUAUAUAGGAAGAAAAUACUCUUGCGAGAGGAUCUGACGGUACUAUAUGAAUAAGGACCGGCUAACUCCGUGCCAGCAGCCGCGGUAAUACGGAGGGUUCAAGCGUUUUCCGGAUUUAUUGGGUUUAAAGAGUGCGUAGGUGGUUUAUUAAGUCAGUGGUGAAAUCCUGCAGCUCAACUGUAGAACUGCCAUUGAUACUGGUAAACUUGAGUUUGGUUUAGGUAAGCGGAAUUUAUGAUGUAGCGGUGAAAUGCAUAGAUAUCAUAAGGAACACCAAUAGCGAAGGCAGCUUACUGGACCACAACUGACACUGAGGCACGAAAGCGUGGGUAGCGAACAGGAUUAGAUACCCUGGUAGUCCACGCCGUAAACGAUGCUCACUCGAUGUUAGCGAUAUACUGUUAGCGUCCAAGCUAAAGCGUUAAGUGAGCCACCUGGGGAGUACGCCGGCAACGGUGAAACUCAAAGGAAUUGACGGGGGUCCGCACAAGCGGUGGAGCAUGUGGUUUAAUUCGAUAAUACGCGAGGAACCUUACCUAGGCUAGAAUGCGAGUGACAUCCAGAGAGAUCUGGAGUUCUUCGGACACAAAGCAAGGUGCUGCAUGGUUGUCGUCAGCUCGUGCCGUGAGGUGUUGGGUU